GACGAACCGUGCAAACGUUGUUCGGAAUCACUGGGCUUAAAGGGCGCGUAGGCGGACUCGCCAGUCUGUGGUGAAAGCCCCCGGCUUAACCGGGGAAGUGCCAUGGAUACUGCGAGUCUGGAGGAGGGUAGGGGCAUCUGGAACGCUGGGUGGAGCGGUGAAAUGCGUUGAUAUCCAGCGGAACUCCGGUGGCGAAGGCGAGGUGCUGGACCCUUUCUGACGCUGAUGCGCGAAAGCCAGGGGAGCAAAGCGGG
rnacentral:rRNA from 1 species